rnacentral:rRNA from 1 species
UGGGGAAUAUUGCACAAUGGGCGGAAGCCUGAUGCAGCGACGCCGCGUGGGGGAUGAAGGCCUUCGGGUUGUAAACUCCUUUCGACAGGGACGAAGCUUUUGUGACGGUACCUGUAUAAGAAGCACCGGCUAACUACGUGCCAGCAGCCGCGGUAAUACGUAGGGUGCGAGCGUUGUUCGGAAUUACUGGGCGUAAAGAGCUCGUAGGUGGUUUGUCGCGUCGUCUGUGAAAUUCCGGGGCUUAACUCCGGGCGUGCAGGCGAUACGGGCUGACUUGAGUGCUGUAGGGGAGACUGGAAUUCCUGGUGUAGCGGUGAAAUGCGCAGAUAUCAGGAGGAACACCGAUGGCGAAGGCAGGUCUCUGGGCAGUAACUGACGCUGAGGAGCGAAAGCAUGGGUAGCGAACAGG